rnacentral:rRNA from 1 species
UAGGAUUCCCUUAGUAGCUGCGAGCGAACAAGGAAUAGCCCAGCACCUAAUCCCGCGGCCGCUGCCGGUUGCCGGGAACUGUGGUGUUCGGGAGGAUCCGUUAUCUCGAGAUCAUGCGACGCGUCCAAGUCCUUCUUGAACGGGGCCACAGCCCAUAGAGGGUGCCAGGCCCGUAGCGACCGUUGCUGAUACCGAGAGGAUCUAUCCUUAGAGUCGGGUUGCUUGAGAGUGCAGCCCUAAGUGGGUGGUAAACUCCAUCUAAGGCUAAAUAUGACCACGAGACCGAUAGCGAACAAGUACCGUGAGGGAAAGUUGAAAAGCACUUUGAAGAGAGAGUUCAAGAGUACGUGAAACCGUUUAGGGGUAAACCUGAGAAACCCGAAAGGUCGAAGGGAGAAAUUCAUUCGCGUUUCAUCAUGGGCGCUCGACGAUCGUGUGACGGAGACGUUCGCGUUUUCCGCAUCUUUCGUUGUGUUCGAUCCCGUGACGAACGCGUGCACUUUUCUCCUGGUAGGACGUCGCGAUCCGUUGGGUGUCGGUCUAAGGAUUGACGGUGGAGCCCGCGAGCACGGCCUCGUGUCGUCGUUCGCGGACCUGUUUUUCCCGGCCGACUCGCUCGACGGUAUACGAAAGGUUUAAGGCCGCUCACUCUACGAGCGUUCGACCCACGACAAGCGCGCUAGUAGCCGUUGGCUAUCGGACCUAGUGCCGGUACCGACCUCUGGUGACUGUUGGUCGUGGUGUUCUCGAACCGACCUUUUUCGAAACCGAUCUGCGACGCUAUAGCUUUGGGUACUUUCAGGACCCGUCUUGAAACACGGACCAAGGAGUCUAGCAUGUGCGCGAGUCAUUGGGAAUUAUUAAACCUAAAGGCGUAAUGAAAGUAAAGGUUCGUCUCGCACGAACCGAGGGAAGAUGGGCGAUUUACCCUUAAAAGUGGUCGCUCCGCAUUCCCGGGGCGUCUCGUUCUCAUCGCGAGAAGAGGCGCACCAAGAGCGUACACGCUGGGACCCGAAAGAUGGUGAACUAUGCCUGGUCAGGACGAAGUCAGGGGAAACCCUGAUGGAGGUCCGUAGCGAUUCUGACGUGCAAAUCGAUCGUCGGAACUGGGUAUAGGGGCGAAAGACUAAUCGAACCAUCUAGUAGCUGGUUCCCUCCGAAGUUUCCCUCAGGAUAGCUGGCGCUCGUUGCGUACGAGUCUCAUCCGGUAAAGCGAAUGAUUAGAGGCAUUGGGGUCGAAACGACCUCAACCUAUUCUCAAACUUUAAAUGGGUGAGAUCUCCGGCUUGCUUGAUGUUUUGAAGCCGCGAGAUUUCGGAUCAGAGUGCCAAGUGGGCCAUUUUUG